GGGGAGACGAAGGGGGGCUUCCUGAGAGGGCAGGGGGAGGGGGGCAAGGAGGGGGGAACUGGAGGGCGGAAGGGAGGGGGAGCGCGUGCUGGAAGAGAGUCGCUGGGAAGACUUGUCUUGUUUUCUUUGAGGGGGGAGGCGUCCGUGCCCCCCCCCCGCCAUUCCAGAUCAGCGCCGGCUGGGCGAAGAGCCCCUCGCUGGCUCCGUGGAAUUCCGCGCCCCCGGGGCCCGCNGCCCGGUUUGCCGCCCUAAGAACCUUGCCAGGUGCAGAGAACGUGAUUCCAGCUGAUCGGAGACUUUACGGAAUAGANAAUANGCUUCCUGGUUCCUUCCCAGAAAACAAAUCAGUCCCAAUCCUGUUUGUAGAAUCAUAG
rnacentral:lncRNA from 1 species